rnacentral:rRNA from 1 species
GAUGAACGCUGGCGGCGUGCUUAACACAUGCAAGUCGAACGGAGUUGUCUCGCUGAUGCGAGCUUGCUCAAAUCUUGGGACAACUUAGUGGCGGACGGGUGAGUAACGCGUGGGUAACCUGCCCUGUACUGGGGGAUAACACUUAGAAAUAGGUGCUAAUACCGCAUAAGCGCACAGGACCGCAUGGUCUGGUGUGAAAAACUCCGGUGGUACAGGAUGGACCCGCGUCUGAUUAGCUGGUUGGCGGGGUAACGGCCCACCAAGGCGACGAUCAGUAGCCGGCCUGAGAGGGUGAACGGCCACAUUGGGACUGAGACACGGCCCAA